rnacentral:rRNA from 1 species
UACAGAGGGGGCAAGCGUUGUUCGGAAUCACUGGGCGUAAAGCGCACGUAGGCGGAUUGUUAAGUCAGGGGUGAAAUCCUGGAGCUCAACUCCAGAACUGCCUUUGAUACUGGCGAUCUCGAGUCCGGGAGAGGUGAGUGGAACUGCGAGUGUAGAGGUGAAAUUCGUAGAUAUUCGCAAGAACACCAGUGGCGAAGGCGGCUCACUGGCCCGGUACUGACGCUGAGGUGCGAAAGCGUGGGGAGCAAACAGG